rnacentral:rRNA from 1 species
AUUCGCGGCCUAUCAGCUUGUUGGUGAGGUAAGAGCUCACCAAGGCCAUGACGGGUAGCCGACCUGAGAGGGUCAUCGGCCGCACUGGGACUGAGACACUGCCCAGACUCCUACGGGAGGCAGCAGAGGAGAAUCAUUCGCAAUGGGCGAAAGCCUGACGGUGCGACGCCGCGUGAGGGAUGAAGGCCUUCGGGUUGUAAACCUCUGUCAGGAGCUAGGAACGACGGGGGCGCGAAUACCGCCUCCGAGUGACCAGCUCCAGAGGAAGCUCCGGCUAACUACGUGCCAGCAGCCGCGGUAAUACGUAGGGAGCGAGCGUUACUCGGAAUCACUGGGCAUAAAGGGCGUGUAGGUGGGUGCGCAAGUCUGGUGUGAAGGCCCCCGGCUCAACCGGGGAAUGCCACUGGAAACUGCGUGUCUUGAGUGCGGGAGGGGAGAGUGGAACUCUUGGUGGAGCGGUGAAAUGCGUUGAUAUCAAGAGGAACGCCGGCGGCGAAAGCGACUCUCUGGCCCGUUACUGACACUGAGGCGCGAAAGCCAGGGGAGCGAACGGGAUUAGAUACCCCGGUAGUCCUGGCCCUAAACGAUGGGCACUAAGUAGGGGUGGCUCCGAUGUCGUCUCUGCUGCAGCUAAUGUGAUAAGUGCCCCGCCUGGGGAGUACGGAAU